UUUCGAAUCUGUAGGUCCGGGAUCUGAUGGCGGUGGCGAUCGACUCGGUAAUCAGCAGUUGUUCCAGUGGUACGGCGGCCAACGUGGUGGUCCGAUUCGUCGAUCGCCGUCGAGUUUCUUGACUCAGAUAUUCUAGGGUUUCUCGAAGAUGGAGCAGGUAUGGAUGUCCAUUCUGACUUACAAAACAUUGGUUUUGGUAGAUUUGAACUGAUGCAUCCUUCCUGCAAGUAGACUGAAAGCAGGACCAGUAUGUUGUGAUAAGAAACAGGUGACCAGGAAAAUGACAAGUGGUUGAAGUAGAGCAAAACAUAUAUAGCAUAACAUAGUUUACCCAAGGCUCAUUUGAGGAUUAAUAAAGGUAAUUUACCAUAAGUUAAAGAAAUUUUUACUGCUUUUGGCAUUGCUUUGGGUUAGCGAUUUACUUGUUGAUUAAUAUGAACUCUUAUCUUCUAUUAUUUAUAUAAAUUUACUCGGGCGCAUUAGAGAAAUAUCAAGGACAUGAAGUUUGAUUUGUGGGUAUGUUUGUCAAGUAUAAUGUUUUAAUGAGUGCAUUAGCUUGUCUGUAAUUUCCCUUUUGGUUGUUAAACUGUUAGUAAUAUUUAUGAUCAAUUCCACAAAGUUUCUUUGCCCUAUUGAUACUGUUCUAUAUUAGAGUGAAAAAGAUAGUAUCUACUCGUC